rnacentral:rRNA from 1 species
CCUACGGGUGGCAGCAGUAGGGAAUAUUGCUCAAUGGGGGAAACCCUGAAGCAGCAACGCCGCGUGGGGGAUGAAGGUUUUCGGAUUGUAAACUCCUUUUGUUAGAGAAGAUAAUGACGGUAUCUAACGAAUAAGCACCGGCUAACUCCGUGCCAGCAGCCGCGGUAAUACGGAGGGUGCAAGCGUUACUCGGAAUCACUGGGCGUAAAGAGCGCGUAGGCGGGAUAGCAAGUCAGAUGUGAAAGCCGAGGGCUUAACCCUAGAACUGCAUUUGAAACUGUUAUUCUAGAGUAUGGGAGAGGUAGGUGGAAUUCUUGGUGUAGCGGUGAAAUGCGUAGAGAUCAAGAGGAACACUCAUUGCGAAGGCGACCUGCUAGAAUAUAACUGACGCUGAUGCGCGAAAGCGUGGGGAGCAAACAGGAUUAGAUACCCGAGUAGUC